rnacentral:rRNA from 1 species
AAUGUCUGGGAAACUGCCCGAUGGAGGGGGAUAACUACUGGAAACGGUAGCUAAUACCGCAUAACGUCGCAAGACCAAAGAGGGGGACCUUCGGGCCUCUUGCCAUCGGAUGUGCCCAGAUGGGAUUAGCUAGUAGGUGGGGUAACGGCUCACCUAGGCGACGAUCCCUAGCUGGUCUGAGAGGAUGACCAGCCACACUGGAACUGAGACACGGUCCAGACUCCUACGGGAGGCAGCAGUGGGGAAUAUUGCACAAUGGGCGCAAGCCUGAUGCAGCCAUGCCGCGUGUAUGAAGAAGGCCUUCGGGUUGUAAAG